rnacentral:rRNA from 1 species
GAUGAACGCUGGCGGCGUGCCUAAUACAUGCAAGUCGAGCGAACGGACGAGAAGCUUGCUUUUCUGAUGUUAGCGGCGGACGGGUGAGUAACACGUGGAUAACCUACCUAUAAGACUGGGAUAACUUCGGGAAACCGGAGCUAAUACCGGAUAAUAUUUUGAACCGCAUGGUUCAAAAGUGAAAGACGGUCUUGCUGUCACUUAUAGAUGGAUCCGCGCUGCAUUAGCUAGUUGGUAAGGUAACGGCUUACCAAGGCAACGAUGCGUAGCCGACCUGAGAGGGUGGUCGGCCACACUGGAACUGAGACGCGGUCAAGACGCCUACGGGAGGCAGCAGUAGGGAAUCGUCCGCAAUGGGCGAAAGCCUGACGGAGCAACGCCGCGUGAGUGAUGAAGGUCUUCGGAUCGUAAAACUCUGUUAUUAGGGAAGAACAUAUGUGUAAGUAACUGUGCACAUCUUGACGGUACCUAAUCAGAAAGCCACGGCUAACUACGUG